CAUCCUCCAAGGCUAAAUACUCCUGACUGACCGAUAGUGAACCAGUACCGUGAGGGAAAGGCGAAAAGAACCCCGGCGAGGGGAGUGAAAAAGAACCUGAAACCGUGUACGUACAAGCAGUGGGAGCCCCACCACUAAGCCAGUGGUGAACUCCACAUACGCAUCCUUUGCUGAGGAUGCGGUUAACGGAGCGAAAGCGACGUUCAACCGCAAAAGAAGCAGAGGGGGCUUAGUGGUGGGGUGACUGCGUACCUUUUGUAUAAUGGGUCAGCGACUUAUAUUCUGUAGCAAGGUUAACCGAAUAGGGGAGCCGGAGGGAAACCGAGUCUUAACCGGGCGUUAAGUUGCAGGGUAUAGACCCGAAACC
rnacentral:rRNA from 1 species